UAUACGAAGAAUUUCCAUAACGCAUCUGUCGUUUGGGUGUGAAUCUGCGUCCCAAAAGCGCUCGUCAGACGAUGUAAACACGUGUAGCUGGUAUUCCCGAUGAUGGCGAUCUUUUGAUGAUUUAUCAGAGUAAUUUGAAAAGUGUCACACUGAUUUGACAAAAAAGGCUGGAAAAAAAAUCUGGUACCUGCUUUGUCUUGAGAUUUACAUAAAUGAUGUUCUUAUUGGUGAUCAUUUACCCGCACCCUUAUCCUGGUGUCAUAUACAAGAUGAAAUGAUGGAAAGAAAAACCUGAACUUUAGGAACAGGAAGACUGUGUUUUUGAAGAGAGAAGAGGACCAGAACUAAGAAGUCAUACAAUAAACACAUUGACAUCAUAAAAAGAAAUUGCAAUUUUGAGUUUGCAUGCAUAUGUCAGGUUUAAAUGUUGUCACAGAAUUUUUUUUCAGAAAGUCCCUUUAUCUUCUUGAAUUAAUAAAACAAAUGAACCAAAUAUAAUUGUUUCUAUAUAUAUAAUUUUGUUUGAGAAGUGGAAAGGGGAUGCUAUGUAAAUGGGCGGGAGAGAGAGUCUCUCACAUAGGAGAAUUCAGACUUAUUUAAAUUCAAUAUAUUGAUAUGAACCAAAAAUGGUUUUUGAUCGCCUUGUUGCAGGAUUUACACACUCUCUUUCCUUUCUCGGUAAUGAGAAAUGAGCGUUUAGAAUUUAUUUUGUGAAUGAAUAGAUAUGCUCACCCUCCCCCCUCUCCUUAAUCUUAAUCAUUCUGCAUGUGUUGAAUAAAAAUAAAAGUCAAUUUUAAUGAGUGUUUAAAUUACAAGUGUAACAUGUGUAAUACAAAGGUGAAUACCGUUGAUUGCUUAUGGGGGGUGGGAAAAGGCCUCAUACAUGGGCAGAUCUACAUGUAUAGUCCCCGUGGCAAAUUCUAAUUUAAUUCACAAUUUACAUAGUAAAACACCAUGGUACCUGGCCCCUGGCAAACAGAAUAAAGUUACCCCUUUGAACCCCCUCCCCAGAAUAAUAUUAACAGACCCAAGCAGUGCUAUAGAAUAUGCAGUCAUUGGGCAAAGGCUGCACAUAAAUAAUGAAAAAAUACUAUAUAUCUUAUUUUUUAAUAUAUAUUAUGAGAACAAUUUAGUUAGUAUAUUAAUAUCAGGGGCUUCAUUUGUCUCUGUUGACAUCUAAUCCCUAAAAUAAUUGUGUACAAUUAGCUCUUAUAUAUUUUUCUCCCAUUACUAAAAAAAUAUUAAGAAACCAAUAACUCCGCGAAUGCGGUUAACCAAGAGAACUGAUACACAACGGUUUUUUGUU